GUCGAGAGCAGGGGGGGCUGGGAGCCAGGACUCCUGGAUUCUUUCUGCCCAGUGUCAGGAGGAUUGUGGGGUCCCAUGGUUUUUCUUCCCUUCCCACCCCAGGCAGCAGUGGGGCUGUGCCCUGGGGGCAGCUCAUCCCCUGGGAGAGGAGGAGAAAUGGAUGGUGAGGGACCAGAUCCAGCGCCCGGACCCGCUGCUGAGCUGGACAGAGAUGCCCCCUAAGUGGCUGCACCAGGGACCCCUUGUUCCGGGGAGCAUUGGGGGGGGGGUGUCUGGCUCCCGAGCUGGCCAGUGCAUCCCGCCCCCCAUUCCUACAAGGCUCAUUAACCCGGCCCUUGUAUGCAAACGCUGCCUUGUCCUCAUGUCUAUCUUUGAAUAUGCAUUGUGCUCAUUUGCAUAAAUGCUCCCUUUCCCC